CGUCUCAAUUUCACUGUAUAUAAACCAAAGUCUCAAAGACAAUUGGUAUCAGUUGAAAAAUGAAACUUACAUUGUUAGCAGUUUUAGCUCUUUUGGGCACUUUCAUGAUGACAGGAGUCGUUGCCGAUUCUUGCCGAAAAGAAGGACAGAGUUGCAGCCGAAACAGACAAUGCUGUAGCAAUAAUUGCAAUCAAAAAAGAGGCGUGUGCAAAUAAUGGCUCCUACAGAUGAAAGUAUUCUAACAAUAAGAUUUUAAUGGUAUAUGGAUCGUUGCAAGUUUCAAAUAAUUUAACUCUACAUCACUUAUUAAUGUUCAUAUCUUCAACAGCUUAUAUUUUAUUAUUAUUGCCUACAAAGAUGCUAAAAAAUAAACUCUGUAUUGAAUUUUUUUAUUAAAUGUUGUAAUCUUAUGCAUUGUAAUGAAAAUAAAGACUUUAUUCUUGCAUUAA